rnacentral:rRNA from 1 species
UCGGAUCGCAGGCUGCAACCCGCCUGCGUGAAGUUGGAAUUGCUAGUAAUCGCGGAUCAGCAUGCCGCGGUGAAUACGUUCCCGGGCCUUGUACACACCGCCCGUCACACCAUGGGAGCCGGUAAUACCCGAAGUCAGUAGCCUAACCGCAAGGAGGGCGCUGCCGAAGGUAGGAUUGGCGACUGGGGUGAAGUCGUAACAAGGUAUC